rnacentral:rRNA from 1 species
AUUGAACGCUGGCGGCGUGCUUAACACAUGCAAGUCGAUCGGUAACGCGGGGGCAACCCUGGCGACGAGAGGCGGACGGGUGAGGAACGCUUGGGAAUCUGCCUAUCAGCGGGGGACAACCCGGGGAAACUCGGGCUAAUACCGCAUACGCUCUACGGAGGAAAGCCGGGGACCGCAAGGCCUGGCACUGAUAGAUGAGCCCAAGUCGGAUUAGCUAGUUGGCGGGGUAACGGCCCACCAAGGCGACGAUCCGUAGCUGGUCUGAGAGGACGAUCAGCCACACUGGGACUGAGACACGGCCCAGACUCCUACGGGAGGCAGCAGUGGGGAAUAUUGGACAAUGGGGGAAACCCUGAUCCAGCGACGCCGCGUGGGUGAAGAAGGCCUGCGGGUUGUAAAGCCCUUUCGGUAGGGACGAAAGCUCUCGACCUAACACGUCGGGAGGUUGACUUAACCUACAAAAGAAGCACCGGCUAACUCUGUGCCAGCCGCCGCGGUAA